rnacentral:rRNA from 1 species
GUAGGGAAUUUUCGGCAAUGGGCGAAAGCCUGACCGAGCAACGCCGCGUGAAGGAAGAAGUCAUUCGUGAUGUAAACUUCUGUUAUAAAGGAAGAACGGCGCCUGUAGGGAAUGACAGGCGAGUGACGGUACUUUAUGAGGAAGCCACGGCUAACUACGUGCCAGCAGCCGCGGUAAUACGUAGGUGGCGAGCGUUAUCCGGAAUCAUUGGGCGUAAAGAGGGAGCAGGCGGCAGUGCAGGUCUGCGGUGAAAGCCCGAAGCUAAACUUCGGUAAGCCGUGGAAACCGCACAGCUAGAGAGCAUCAGAGGAUCGCGGAAUUCCAUGUGUAGCGGUGAAAUGCGUAGAUAUAUGGAGGAACACCAGUGGCGAAGGCGGCGGUCUGGGGUGCAGCUGACGCUCAGUCCCGAAAGCGUGGGGAGCAAAUAGGAUUAGAAACCCCAGUAGUCC